CUAGCUGUAAACGAUGGAUACUAGGCGUUGAGAGUAUCGACCCUCUCAGUGUCGUAGCUAACGCGUUAAGUAUCCCGCCUGGGGAGUACGCGCGCAAGCGUGAAACUCGAAGGAAUUGACGGGGGCCCGCACAAGCGGUGGAGUAUGUGGUUUAAUUCGAUGCAACGCGAAGAACCUUACCAGGGCUUGACAUGUCCGGAACCCUGCCCAAAGGCGGGGGUGCCUACGGGAACCGGAACACAGGUGGUGC
rnacentral:rRNA from 1 species